CGCGAAAACUAAUACAUUUAAUGAUAGAGUCUCCGGCUUUCGUUUAGAAAUGUUAACAAUUUAUUUGUGAUUUGACAUAGAAUAUUUAACAUUCAAAUUAAUUAAACAAGGAAAUGUAACAUUCAACAUAAAUACAACCUCCAGCUUUCGUCGUGAGUGACCGGUUUGUUUACAUGAUGUCACGUAUCUGUUCUAAAAAGGCGUUAAAAACAUGCGAUGACGUCACACAUUGUCAUACUGUCAGAGGUACUGCUUUACGGCAGUUUCUAAAGCACUUCCCUUUUCCCGCAACGAUAACACCAGCUGUUGGAGUUGGACCUUGAUGCUGUGACAACGGACAAGUCUUCUUCCUCUGUCCUUUUCCCCUGCCUCUGUUCAGUAUGUUCAGUGUUGUUAAAUCAUUUCUCUUUUUUUUUAUUAGUUACUCUUCUUAUUGUGUUCUUGUUAGUGUGAUGUUUGAAUAAACUUGCC
ensembl:lncRNA